GACGAACGCUGGCGGCGUGCUUAACACAUGCAAGUCGAACGGUGAAGCGCCUUCCUUUUUGGUGGGUGUGGAUGAGUGGCGAACGGGUGAGUAACACGUGAGUAACCUGCCCCCUUCUUCUGGAUAACCGCAUGAAAGUGUGGCUAAUACGGGAUAUUCUGUGUCUGUCGCAUGAUGGGUCUGGGAAAGAUAUUGUUUCGGUGGGGGAUGGGCUCGCGGCCUGUCAGCUUGUUGGUGGGGUGAUGGCCUACCAAGGCGGUGACGGGUAGCCGGCCUGAGAGGGUGGACGGUCACACUGGGACUGAGACACGGCCCAGACUCCUACGGGAGGCAGCAGUGGGGAAUAUUGCACAAUGGGCGCAAGCAUGAUGCAGCGACGCCGCGUGAGGGAUGGAGGCCUUCGGGUUGUGAACCUCUUUCGCCAGUGAAGCAGGCCUGCCUCGUUUGUGGGUGGGUUGACGGUAGCUGGAUAAGAAGCGCCGGCUAACUACGUG
rnacentral:rRNA from 1 species